AUUGAACGCUGGCGGAAUGCUUUACACAUGCAAGUCGAACGAUGAACCUUAGCUUGCUAGGGGGCUUAGUGGCGAACGGGUGAGUAAUAUAUCGGAACGUGCCUUGUAAUGGGGGAUAACUAGUCGAAAGAUUAGCUAAUACCGCAUACGCCCUGAGGGGGAAAGUAGGGGAUCUUCGGACCUUACGUUAUGAGAGCGGCCGAUAUCUGAUUAGCUAGUUGGUGGGGUAAUGGCCUACCAAGGCGACGAUCAGUAGCUGGUCUGAGAGGACGACCAGCCACACUGGAACUGAGACACGGUCCAGACUCCUACGGGAGGCAGCAGUGUGGAAUGUUGGACAAUGGGCGCAAGCCUGAUCCAGCCAUUCCGCGUGAGUGAAGAAGGCCUUCGGGUUGUAAAGCUCUUUCGCAAGGGAAGAAAACUUACCAUCGAAUAAAUGGUGAGGCUGACGGUACCUUGAUAAGAAGCACCGGCUAACUACGUG
rnacentral:rRNA from 1 species